GGAGGGAUGGCAGAGUGGACUAUUGCGGCGGUCUUGAAAACCGUUGUGGGCUUGUCCCACCGGGGGUUCGAAUCCCUCUCCCUCCG
rnacentral:tRNA from 1 species